UUCAUUCUCGAGUCAAGAACCGUUUCUGUCAGACGCGUCCGAUUCGAGAACCGAGGAGCUGAUGAUAAUUGCGCAUGUGUGUUUCAGCGUGAAGCAGAAUGACACACAGAGCGUCUGAACUGAACUGAUUCUUUUGGUGAUUGAUUCUGAACUGAUUCUGUGCUAGUGUUAUGAGCCCAGGUAAACCGAAGGCUUGAAUCAAUGACAAUCAUCACCAAUGAUGCCAUUACGUCGAGCGCAAAAGAACCGGUGAACCGUUUUCUUCAACUGGUUUAUUGAAUCGAACUGUCCGAAAGAACUACAGGUGAUCCAAAAAGCCGAUGCAACCGGUUCAGAACGAGUCAAUCUUUUGUUCGUUAUCUGGCUCGGCUCGGUGUUCAUCUUCAGUUCUCUCUUCACAGCAGUUCAGUCAGUGCACUGUUUGAGUAAAUGAAUUACUCCGGAACGUUGGUUUGUUUUAAUUCCAAGGGAGUGUCAGCCACAUAAAAAAAAGUCAUUUGUGGAUUAAUGCUUACUGGGAACUUGAACCUUUUUAAAUGAUUCAGUUCGAUUUGGUGAACUGGUUCAAAAAGUUCCAGCUACAUUGAAUGAUUCGUUCGUGAACCGGAUAUCCCAAACUGCUUUGUUUUGGACUCUCUCACAACAGACCCGGAAAAGAAGACAAUGAUGAAUAAAGUCGUAGUUCUAGCUAUUUUCAGACCAAAAUGUAUUUUCGAUUCUAACUGGCCCUCUGAUGUCACAUGGACUUCUUUGAUGAUGUUUUUCUUACCUUUCUGGACAUGGACAGUAGACCGUACACACAGCUUCAAUGGAGGGUAUGAGAGCUCUCGGACUAAAUCUACAAUAUCUUAAACUGUGUUCUGAAGAUAAACAGAGUUCUCACGGGUUUGAAACAAUGUAAGGGUGAAUUAUUAAUGAAAUCAUUUUUAUUAUUGAAUGAAUUAACCCAUUAAUUAUAUCUGAGAUGACCGUGACCAGUCAGGUGUACCAGUGUACAGCAGACAAAGACAUAUCUGCUCCUGGCGGUGUGGAAGGACAGCUCGUCAUACACUACCACCCCUGAUCUGAAGCUGCUCCGUGUCGACCAUAACUCGGUUACUCUGGAAAGGAUGCCCGGAUUUGAUGGUGGUUUGACACAAAACUUCCGUGUCAGGUACCAGUGGGCGGGAUCAGUGAGAUUCAUGCAGGUGGACGUGUUUCCUCCGACAGCCACUGUGUAUACAGUCACGGGCCUUGACCCUUCCACUACCUCCAACUUUUUUCAGUUAACACUAUCAAAACGAUGUGAGAGAGCAGCUAUACAGACAACAACAAAAUACUGACAGUCACCACCACUUGAGCCUGUAUAAUAAAGCUUACGACACAUAAACUAAAUUAUUCGUCAUUCGGUUUCCGACCAUGGUGGUUUACUUGUAGAUUUAGACACCGGCUUUACUUUCCACUGAUUUGAUGAGCCAUUCAUCAAUCCCACCAAUCACAUCUCAUUUGUAAGGCAAAGAUCACGGCUGAGCCUCAUGCAAAUAAGCCCAAUGGCUGAAUGUCUACACCAAUCAGUGCACCAGUGUGUUUUCUGAAUGCGUAUUUCAGUCUGCAUUUUAUCGGGAUUGCGAGCUAGAGGGAGAAAAAUCGAGCGAUAGAGGGAGAGAGACAGAAAACAAAACCGUGUGAUGUAUGAUAAAUGAUGAUAAGCUACAUUCCCUCUGCAAACAUAAUGAAUUCUGCAAUUGUAAUGUCAUAGCAUUUGAUUUGCAAAACAAAUUAGUCAUGAGCACAGGCAGCUGACAGAAGUACGGAAAAAUCACAACAUGGCUCUGCCACAGAGUUUACUGAUAGCAGAACUGAAAAACCUUACUUAUUUAACAUUUAUCAGCUAUGUAAAGACAAAUUCUGUCAUAUUUGCUUACUAUUGUGUCAUAAGAAAGCUUUUCUGUGUUUUCCAUGGAGCACAAAAUAAUUUUAAGAGCGUCCUUUUCAUACAACAAAAACAUACAGUGUCCAAUGGCUGUCAAGGUCCAAAAAAGCAACAUGAAUGUCAUACAACAGCAAAAUUCAUCAUGGUGGAAUGUAUUGCAUUUAUUCUACCAUUCAGCUACCAUUUUGGGG